GACGAACCGUGCGACCGUUAUUCGGAAUCACUGGGCUUAAAGCGCGUGUAGGCGGGCCGGCACGUCGGUCGUUGAAAUCCCCCGGCUCAACCGGGGAAGCGGCGCCGAUACGACCGGCCUCGAGGGACGUAGGGGGGGCUGGAACUUCCGGUGGAGCGGUGAAAUGCGUUGAGAUCGGAAGGAACGCCCGUGGCGAAAGCGAGCCCCUGGACGUCUACUGACGCUGAGACGCGAAAGCCAGGGGAGCGAACGGG
rnacentral:rRNA from 1 species